AUGUCUUACACAGUUUUACCUAGUACAGACACGUGUCAAGCAAACCCCAUACUCAUAUUCUACAGUUAUCAUGAAAUACUUAUCAUAAUCAACAACAGUCACACAAAUAUAAUAAACAUAAACUGCAUUUCUUCCCUUAAAACACGGAUUGAAGUCGUCAUAAACCCAGUCACUGCAGCAGUCAUUAGUCAGUCAUGAGUAAACAGGAAAUGUCAAUCUAAAUAAGUCACAGGCAUCUCAUUUGCAUAGACACAGACACACAGUCUCAAAUUAACCUGCCUUCUGCUUUCUCAGUGGCAGACACAGUGUACAUACAAACUUUCAAAUUAUAUUACAGAAACGUCUCACAAAUAAAAUAAUAUAUACAAGGCCUGAAAUGCACAUCCUACAAAAUUUUACGAAAUUUAAGUUAACCCUCCAAGGGAUAAACUCCAAGUUUUUUAUCAUCAAUUCACACAGUAUCAGUUCCAAACUGUAUCUGGUCUAAUUCCUAAAGUUCCUAAAUCAAUUUAAAAGCGUCCAACGCCCAAGCUCCAAGCUUUGCUACCCAAAAAGCGCAAGUACCGUUCCAAACGGUAAAGUGGUCCAACCACUAGCUAUUUUGGAGGUUCCCAAGUUCUCCACGAUUGCCAAUCGGACUAUCCCUUCCAAAGGAAAAUCCCGAGCGUCCCCAGGAAAUUUGGAGCGUCACCUCCGAGAAAUGCGCUUCUUAGCAGUCCAACUGCCGUUCUACAGAAAUUUGUAAUACUUUGAAACAACAAUCAACACCUCAGAACAAGUGUAUGACUGGCACAGGUCCAACCUUAUAACCAAUUGGGAGUGUAACCCCCAAAACGCCCAAUUACCUAUUAUUCUAAAUUCUCUUUAUUCUAAAUCCUCUUUAUUCUAAAUCCUCUUUGCUUAGCAGUCCAACUGCUUUUUCUUUAAUCAGUACUGUCACUUAACCUUACAUUAUCAUUACUUCAACUUCAAUUCUCAUGAGAUUUUCACCAAAAUCAAAACAGACCUUUACCAGUAAUUUCAGUGAGUAGACUUUCAAUUUUGUCAGAACCAAUUCAGCACUGUUUGGAAAUAAUUCAACAGGUAGUGCCUUACCUUUGAAUAAGCCGGCUUAUGUCAACUCACUUCGACCACUGACUCGUGUCUGCCCGUUUGAGCACCUCGGACCCUCUCGGUCUCAAUCUCCAACUCUCUCCAGUCAACCCCGGCCAAUGCACCAAAUGUUACGAGUUCGAAAUUGUGGAUGAGAGUAAAACAAUGAUAGUCCAGAAGAGGUCGUUCAAACAAUUGAUUUUAAUGCACGCAGCGUGGAGAGGUGUAAACUGCAAAACAGUUGUACAUCUCUACCCAAAAUACACUCUAGAUUGCUUUUAUAACAUCAGGGUAUUGUAACGCCCCUUCUUGCGUUUACAAGCACAUAAUUUGCAUGUACAGAACAUUCAUGUAUUUUAAGAAUUAAAUGCAAACACAGAGGUUCCUCCUUGUGGCAUACUCUUCCAAAUAUGGUGAUGAUCUCAGGCCUUUGAGGUCACAAGAAGCUGAAUACAUUCAGGCCUUUACUCAGCUACUAUUUUACUGUAACAAUAUACUCAGCAUAUGAGUUUUGAUAUAUAUAUUUAACUCAAUCAUUUUAAAGUAGUUAUAACUGCACCUGUAAUAAACAUGUUAAUAUUUGAUUAUGAUAACCCCUAUAAUAUAAAUUAUAACAUAAUGCCAGCAGCUUCAAUAAACGCUUUGAUGAACUGAUAAUUAAUGCAAUGAUAAGAUGAUGGUUAUGUAAAAUAAUCCCUGUAAUUCCACACCCCCUAAACUUCUGAGCAAGCAACAAGUACGCUGCCCAGGAAUGUGAAAUUCACAGAGAAACUCCCAGAUCUUUCCACUUACAUGACCGCUGCGGCAAUCCUGCACCAGGGUAAACUCCG
ensembl:lncRNA